GACUGAUUCCUACUGCUUUCAUAGGGGACCAGGAGCAGGAGGAAUCCAAUAACCAUUUGGCCAAUACUAAUGGAGCUCCAACCACUUCUCAGACACGAUGACAGGUGGAUACUGGAGCCCUGACACCCACAACCUGAGACUGGAUUUGGAGAUGUGAGCUUAAAAGGGCAAUUUAAAGUAAUACAGGUCAUAAGGGCCUGCUCUGGUACGACAGGUACCUUUAUAAGGAAAGGAGAUGAGGACACAGACAACACAAAGGGGAGCCAUGCGAGGACACGGCGGUGAGACAGACAUAUGCAAGUCCAGAAGAGAGACCUCAGAAGACACCAAACCUGCUGACACUUUGAUUCUUGGACAUCCAGCCCCCAGAAUUAUGAGAAAAUAAAUUUUCAUUGUUUAA